AUUGAACGCUGGCGGCAUGCCUUACACAUGCAAGUCGAACGGUAACAGGUCUUCGGAUGCUGACGAGUGGCGAACGGGUGCGUAAUACAUCGGAACGUGCCCGCUCGUGGGGGCUAACGAAGCGAAAGCUUUGCUAAUACCGCAUACGAUCUACGGAUGAAAGCCGGGGACCGCAAUGCCUUGCGCGAACGGAGCGGCCGAUGGCAGAUUAGGUAGUCGCUGGGGUAGAAGCUUACCAAACCGACGCUCUGUAGCUGGUCUGAGAUGACGGCCCGCCACACUGGGACGGAGACACGGCCCAGACUCCUACGGGAGGCAGCAGUGGGGAAUUUUGGACAAUGGGCGAAAGCCUGAUCCAGCCAUGCCGCGUGCAGGAUGAAGGCCUUCGGGUUGUAAACUGCUUUUGUACGGAACGAAAAGACUCUGGUUAAUACCUGGGGUCCAUGACGGUACCGUAAGAAUAAGCACCGGCUAACUACGUG
rnacentral:rRNA from 1 species